GUUUUGGCAGAACAUAUACUAAAAUUGGAACAAUACAANGAAGAUUAGCAUGNCCCCUGCNCAAGGAUGACAUGCAAAUUCAUGAACCAUUCCAUAAAAUA
rnacentral:snRNA from 1 species